AACCCAGAACAUGAAGUUCAAAAGGAUAAUGGAAUUUAUGGGGAAUAAACUAGAUGAAGAUCCUGUCAAAAGAAUUGUUCAGCACACAUCUUUUGAAAGUAAGAAGAAAAACCAGAUGACCAACUAUGUAAUGAUAACCUGUGACAUCAUGGACCACUCCAUCUCCCCAUUUAUGAGGAAAGGGACCGUUGGAGAGUGGAAGGAUUACUUCUCAGCAGCACAGAAUAAGAGAUUUGAUGAAGACUAGGGAGGAAAAUGGCUGACUCUUCUCUGACCUUCCACACGGAGCUCUAA
rnacentral:lncRNA from 1 species